rnacentral:rRNA from 1 species
GAUGAACGCUGGCGGCGUGCCUAAUACAUGCAAGUCGAGCGAACGGACGAGAAGCUUGCUUUUCUGAUGUUAGCGGCGGACGGGUGAGUAACACGUGGAUAACCUACCUAUAAGACUGGGAUAACUUCGGGAAACCGGAGCUAAUACCGGAUAAUAUUUUGAACCGCAUGGUUCAAAAGUGAAAGACGGUCUUGCUGUCACUUAUAGAUGGAUCCGCGCUGCAUUAGCUAGUUGGUAAGGUAACGGCUUACCAAGGCAACGAUGCAUAGCCGACCUGAGAGGGUGAUCGGCCACACUGGAACUGAGACACGGUCCAGACUCCUACGGGAGGCGGCAGUAGGGAAUCUUCCGCAAUGGGCGAAAGCCUGACGGAGCAACGCCGCGUGAGUGAUGAAGGUCUUCGGAUCGUAAAACUCUGUUAUUAGGGAAGAACAUAUGUGUAAGUAACUGUGCACAUCUUGACGGUACCUAAUUAGAAAGCCACGGCUAACUACGUG